rnacentral:lncRNA from 1 species
UGGAUUCCACACCCAGAGACUUUGACAAGAGUUCAGAAGUAAAAGCCCUUUGCAGGAACCUAUAAUCUGAACAUUAUGAUGAGUACUGGGAGGUAGAAAGUUGAGGUUUAAUGAAGAAGAUGCAGAAUCAUUGUGAUGAGAUGAGUUGAAAUCUAUGGAUCGGAUUUCAGGAGAAGGAGGCGCUAUGAACAAAAGUCUGGUAGAGCUUGCCUCGUUGAAAAUGUGAUAUUGCAAAGUGUGGAUCAGAGAGAAGACAAAGCCAUGACUUACAGACACAUUUGAAACGAACAAGGGAUUUGACAGGUAACAUCAACAAAAUUUCGAUUAUGAGCUCCCACGGCAGAAUCGCCGUCAUCUUCGUUCCUCUGCUACUACUACUCCCUCCCUACUCUUCUUUGAUGACCUGCUCUGUGUUACAGCAUUGAAGGUGGAUGACUAGAAAGUCCCUAACGCG